rnacentral:lncRNA from 1 species
AUGAGCAGCUUCUACAUUGGCCUGUGUUCCCGCCUCCACUGCAACAUCUUCUCCUACGACUACUCCGGCUACGGUGCCAGCUCGGGCAGGCCCUCCGAGACGAACCUCUACGCCGACAUCGACGCCGCCCGGCAGGCCCUGCGCACCAGGUACCGCAUCAGCCCGGACAGCAUCAUCCUGUACCGGCAGAGCAUCGGCACGGUGCCCACCGUGGACCUGGCCUCGCGCUACAAGUCCGCCGCGGUGGUGCUGCACUCGCCGCUCACCUUGGACCUGAGCGUCGCCUUCCCGACACCAAGAAGACCUACUGCUUCGACGCCUUCCCCAAGUGAGCAGGCUGGGGCGGGGACAGGGGCGGGGACGGGGACUGGGUCGGGGACGGGGGCGGGGCGGGGCGCGGCGGGGCCCGGGCCCGGUGAGGUCUCACCCGCCCCACGCCCCUCCCGCAGAAUCCAGAAGGUGUCCAAGAUCACGUCGCCCGUGCUCAUCAUCCACGGCACGAAAGACGAGGUGAUCGACUUCUCGCAGGGGCUGGCGCUCUAGGAGCGCUGCCCCAAGGCCGUGGAGCCGCUGUGGGUGGAGGGCGCCGGGCACAAAGACAUCCAGCUCUACAGCCAGUACCUGGAGCGCCUGCGCCGCUUCAUCUCCCAGGAGCUGCCCAGCCAGAGCGCCUAGCGGCCGCCGGGGCCCCAACCGGCCGGACCUCAGCAAUAAGGCGGCCCCCGGACCUCACCCCGCACUGGCCUCCCGGGGGCUGCAUGUGGACCCCCGGGUGGCCCGGGGGACCCCGCCCGGAUCCAGGGGCCGUGGACGGUGUACAGGCAACAGAGCUACCCACUCCUUUCCUUUUGGAAGCAAGAAGAAAUAUGUGAAAACGGAAAUUAAAGAUUAAAAAUUUUUUUAAAAAAAACGUUUAUUAAUAUACUCCAAAGUUGUGGGGUUUUUUUGUUUGUUUGUUUGUUUGUUUUUUUGAAAUGGAGUCUCACUCUGUCGCCCAGGCUGGAGUGCAGUGGCGCGAUCUCAGCUCACUGCAACCUCCACCUCCCAGGUUCAAGCGAUUCUCCUGCCUCAGCCUCCCGAGUAGCUGGGACUACAGGCGCGUGCCACCAUGCCCAGCUAAUUUUUUGUAUUUUUAGUAGUUACGGGGUUUCACCGUGUUAGCCAGGAUGGUCUCCAUCUCCCGACCUCGUGAUCCGCCCUCUUGGCCUCCCAAAGUGCUAGGAUUACAGGCGUGAGCCACCGUGCCCAGCCGUUUUGCACAGAUUUUUUAAUGCAGAAUCAUGUUGGCAAUGGGUAAUGGCUACCAAGGUGCCAUCGUUCCACAUUCCUGUUAUUCAGUCAUCACAUCUACUAUGUGUGAGCCAUAAUAUCUUCUAAAAUGAAUUAUAACUAUGUUCGAAUUGUUAUUUCACUAAGUAAUCUCUGCUAGUUUAGUCUCUAUUUCAUCUCAACGGAAUGCCUUCUGAGUUCCUAUAAUUGUGACUAAUUCUCUGAGACAACAUCAGCAGUAUCACUAUAAACUAUGAAACCUACAAAGGGAAUUUCCUCUUUUUCCUUUUUAUUAUAGAGAUGCUUUUUUGUUUGUUUUCUGCAAGCAAGCACAGUCUUAAUCAAUUUUGUAUGCCCAUACCUAGGAGAGCCCCUGAUUCAUAAUAAGACCUCAAUAAGAUUUGUUGAAUAAAGUGAAAAUAGGAUUUUCAGCUUUCCCUCACCACUUUCUUCAAAACAGACUAGUUCAUAACUGAAAUAGGCAUUGUUUCUAGAAAACGGUCACUCCAGCUGAUCCCCUCGUUUAAUCAUUUUUGUACUCCCUGAAUCUAUGAUGAUACCUGCACAUAGUGGGUAAGUAAUCAAUAUUUGUUCACUGAACUAAUGGAAGGAUGAGUGAAUGAAACAAUACAGGCAUUUUAAAAUUAUAAUUCAAAAUUAACAUAUUACUUGUUAUUAGAGUGAUUUUAAACAGUUAUGUUAAGUAUAUGAUAA